rnacentral:rRNA from 1 species
AAAUAGAUACCCAGGUAGUCCAUGCCGUAAAACGUUGGGCACUAGGUGUGGGGCUCAUUCCACGAGUUCCGUGCCGCAGCAAACGCAUUAAGUGCCCCGCCUGGGGAGUACGGCCGCAAGGCUAAAACUCAAAGAAAUUGACGGGGGCCCGCACAAGCGGCGGAGCAUGCGGAUUAAUUCGAUGCAACGCGAAGAACCUUACCAAGGCUUGACAUACACCGGAAAAGUGCAGAGAUGUGCUCCCCGUAAGGUCGGUGUACAGGUGGUGCAUGGUUGUCGUCAGCUCGUGUCGUGAGAUGUUGGGUUAAGUCCCGCAACGAGCGCAACCCUGUCCCAUGUUGCCAGCGGGGUUAUGCCGGGGGACUCAUGGGGAGACUGCCGGGGGUCAACUCGGAGGAAGGUGGGGAUGACGUCAAAUCAUCAUGCCCCUUAUGCCUUGGGCUUCACGCAUGCUACAAUGGCCGGUACAAAGGGCUGCGAUACCGCAAGGUGGAGCGAAUCCCAAAAAGCCGGUCUCAGUUCGGAUUGGGGUCUGCAACUCCCG